GUGGAAGUUGAGGGUAAGUAGUGGUUUAGAAGCCGGUUUUGGUCCCUUCUGAAUACAGAAUUAGAACGGUACCUUGCCAAGGUAAGGGUCGCGAGUUCGAGCCUCGUCUCCCGCU
rnacentral:tRNA from 1 species